rnacentral:rRNA from 1 species
UUUGACGGAGAGUUUGAUCCUGGCUCAGGACGAACGCUGGCGGCGUGCUUAAUACAUGCAAGUCGAACGCUCUCGCCCUUCGGGUCACAUGAGAGAGUGGCGAACGGGUGCGUAACACGUGAGAAACCUGCCCCAAAGACGGGAAUAGCCCGAGGAAACUC